rnacentral:rRNA from 1 species
UACGAAGGGUGCAAGCGUUAAUCGGAAUUACUGGGCGUAAAGGGUGCGUAGGCGGUUGUUUAAGUCUGUUGUGAAAUCCCCGGGCUCAACCUGGGAAUGGCAAUGGAUACUGGCAGGCUAGAGUGUGUCAGAGGAUGGUGGAAUUCCCGGUGUAGCGGUGAAAUGCGUAGAGAUCGGGAGGAACAUCAGUGGCGAAGGCGGCCAUCUGGGACAACACUGACGCUGAGGCACGAAAGCGUGGGGAGCAAACAGG